rnacentral:rRNA from 1 species
GGNUGGGAUGACGUCAAAUCAUCAUGCCCCUUAUGACCUGGGCUACACACGUGCUACAAUGGAUGGUACAAAGGGUUGCUAGACCGCGGGGUUACGCCAAUCCCAUAAAACCAUUCUCAGUUCGGAUUGUAGGCUGCAACUNGCCUACAUGAAGCCGGAAUCGCUGGUAAUCGCGGAUCANCAUGCCGCGGUGAAUACGUUCCCGGGCCUGGUACACACCGCCCGUCACACCCCGAGAGUUUGUAACACCCGAAGUCGGUGAGGUAACCUUUUGGAGCAGCCGCCGAAGGUG